rnacentral:lncRNA from 1 species
UGCAACAUGUCUCCUAUGCCGUGGGUGUCAGUCAGUGUCACAAUGCAAGCUUUGUUCUGAAAAAGAAUCUCAUAGAUUUUAUAGGCUCUAGAAGGAGAGUGACAUUCCAAUUUUCUCCCAAUUCUAUUGGAAGGUCAAUCUUAAAUGCUGUAUAGGAGGAUCUCAUUGAGAAGAUAUCAUUUGAGCAAAGAUGUAAAGCAAGGGAGGGAAUGAGUCAGUGGCUACAUAGCGAGAGUGUCCUAGGCAGAGGAAACAGCUUCUACAAAAGCCCUGAAGCAAGAGAAUGUUUGAAGUGUUCAAGAAUAAACAGGAGAUGCAGAAUGAAUGGAAUUGAGAGUGAGUGAGGCAGUCGGAUACAAGAGAGACUAAUAUGGGGCAGCACUGAAGACUGCUGACAGCAGCCACAUGAGUGAGCUCAGAGUGGACACAACAGCCCCUUCAGAGGCUGCAGGGAUGGCAGACAGCCUGACUGCAAUGUCGUGAAAGAUGCUGAGGCAGAACCAUGCAGCAAAGUCAUUCCCAGAUUCCUGACUCUCAGAAAAUGUUGUUACUUUAGAGAAGUCUGAACUUGCCCUUUUUUUCAUCUUUAUGCCUGAGGAAAUUUUUCUUUAUCAUCAAAGAACUCUGAGAAUUGAUGGGCACUGUGUUAGAGCAAGUGGGAAGUAUAGACACAGCUUCCCAUGUUAAGCACGAGCAAGAAGAAAAUAAUUUGAAUGGAAACUAUUCAAAUAUAUCACAGUGAUCAAAGAUUUAAAAGUGGAUGAAAAGAGACAGCUCAAGAACCCAAUUCAGAAGACAGCAUAGCUCAAGGAAGCAGCAAGAUAGACAACUCACUGAACAAUU